rnacentral:piRNA from 1 species
UGAAGAGAUAUUGUAUGAGCUCAUUC